rnacentral:rRNA from 1 species
GAUGAACGCUAGCGGCAGGCCUAACACAUGCAAGUCGAGGGGCAGCAUAGAAGUUGGUAACAACUUUUGAUGGCGACCGGCGGACGGGUGCGUAACGCGUAUGCAACCUACCAUUAACAGGGGGACAAUUCGGAGAAAUCUGGUCUAAUACCCCAUAAUAUUAGAACUGGCAUCAGUUUUAGUUGAAAGAAUUUCGGUUAAUGCUGGGCAUGCGUUGUAUUAGAUUGUUGGUGAGGUAACGGCUCACCAAGUCUACGAUACAUAGGGGGACUGAGAGGUUAACCCCCCACACUGGCACUGAGACACGGACCAGACUCCUACGGGAGGCAGCAGUGAGGAAUAUUGGUCAAUGGACGGAAGUCUGAACCAGCCAUGCCGCGUGCAGGAAGACGGCUCUAUGAGUUGUAAACUGCUUUUUUACGCGAAUAACCGCGGGCACGUGUGCCCGUUUGAAUGUAGUGUAAGAAUAAGGAUCGGCUAACUCCGUGCCAGCCGCCGCAGUAAGAC